AUACGGAAGGUCCGGGCGUUAUCCGGAUUUAUUGGGUUUAAAGGGAGCGCAGGCGGAGAUGCAAGCGUGACGUCAAAUUUCGGGGCUCAACCCCGUCUCGCGUCGCGAACUGCGUCCCUUGGUUGCGGGAAGGGGAGGCGGAACUCGUGGUGUAGCGGUGAAAUGCAUAGAUAUCACGAAGAACUCCGAUCGCGAAGGCAGCCUUCCGGCCCGUCAACGACGCUCAUGCUCGAAGGUGCGGGUAUCAAACAGGAUUAGAUACCCUGGUAGUCCGUACAGUAAACGAUGGACACCCGCGGUUUGGCCUAUAUGGCUGAGCCGCCAAGCGAAAGCGUUAAGUGUCCCACCUGGGGAGUACGCCGGCAACGGUGAAACUCAAAUGAAUUGACGGGG
rnacentral:rRNA from 1 species